UGAGAGGAGGCUGUGCUGAGUCUGGUGGGGGCCAUCCUCCCAACCCCACAGGCCAAUUCCAGGAGAUCAACUCGCAGACCCGUCAGUAGUGCCUGGACUGUGGACCAAGCAAAGAGCCCUGGAGUCGAAGCUUAGCCCACAGGCUGUUGCAGGAGCUCUGGCUUUCUUCAGCUCCUCCCCAUGGGGUAGUUGCCUCUGGACAGUUUGUUCUGAAGAACAGCAACAAAUUCUGGACCACGAGCACUUGGACAGUAACUUAAAAUACACAUUCAGACCCUUUGAUCCAGCAAGCCUUGUGCCUAGGAGCUAUCGUGAAGAAAUGACCUGCUUAGCCGGAUGGGCUUUCAUGUAUCUGCAAUGUUUGAACUUUCUAUGGGAGCGGCGCUUGUGAGUCUUCUUGGUACUGGCAGAACGCUUCUUGCCAGAGUGGCUGGGGGAGGCCGGUGUGCCCUUCAUCACCGUGAGUGGGCCACAGUUCCUGGAAAUGUUGGUUGGCAUGGGCCAGCAAGGGUUCGUAACAUGUUUGCAGCGGCUCAAAAAAACCUCCUUGUAUCUUACUUAUUGAUGAGAUUGAUGCCAUUGGCGGAAAGCAAGGCCAGGGGCACCGUGGAGCCCAGAAUGAGCAGGAGAACACACUGAACCCGAUGCUUGUGGAGAUAGACGGUGAGCGGAUGCCAGGGACAGCCGCUGAGACCAGGCCUGUGCCGUCAGCACCGCCAGAACCUCCUCCAGCCUUUUGUUCCUGUAAACUCCCUGGGGUUCGCCUCUCCACAAGCACUGUGGUGCCGGCUGGCACCAGCUGCCCUGUCGUCCUCGACCCGGCCCUGACGCAGCCUGGCCUGUCUGACCGCCUGAUUCACGUCGGCACCCCUGACGUCAGAGGCAGGGCCUCCAUCUUCAGAGUCCACCUGUGCCCGCUGAAGCUAGACAAGAGCCUCCAGAAGGACACGCUAGCAGGAAAGCUCCUGGUGCUCGUGUGGUGCUUCCCGGCUCGAUUCUCUUCAGACUUGCUAACUUUUUGCUGCAGAGGACCAACUGAUGUCUGAGGACAGACCCACUGAAGUGAGCCGUGCUCUUUUCUCUUUCCUUUGUCGUUAAGAUCUAAGAUCCUGUACUAGGAAACUCAUUUCCCUCCCAGGGUGGUUUAAACACUGGGACGCGAGGGCUUUUCGAGGGGGCUUCCCUCCCCGGUUACUCCCUACUCAGCAGCCCGUUGCCAGUCUCAUGGUGACUGUGAGGCAUUGUUGGCCACUGCUCCUGCCUCCCAGGGACGUUGUGCUGCGGAGCCUUGUCUCCUGCCGCCAUGCUGCUGUCUCCCCAGUGUCCUGCCCACUGCGGGGCAAGGGCCGAGGGCCGAGGGCCGAGGUCAGGUCACACGUGGGUGAUGAUUGAGGCGUUCUCACCCGAUCCGGCUGUUGCACAAAGGACCUGGUCUGUUUCCGGCCAAGAAUGUGCUUUCUGCUCUCUUCCUGUGUGACGCUCACGUCCACUUGCACACCAAAGUUAAGAAACUCCCAGACUCUGUUCUUCCCAGAUUAGCAUUAGAGGCUGCCCAUUGGCUGGGAUGACUUGGCGGGAUGACUGGAACUCCCCUCACGGGAAACUGCCUCACGGGGUCCUGAGGAGGCUGCCUCAUGGAGCUGCUCUCCUCUCUCUGCUGAUCCCUUGACCCCGCUGUCCCUGAGAGGCUGUCGAAGCUUUUUGGAAGUCUGCAUCGCAAGGUAGUCCUCACACACAGAAGGGGAUGUGGGGGAUUCUUGGAGUCAACUCUGGACACCUUCUCCAGAGCCAUAGAACCAAGAGGUAACUGCAGCGCUCUGACGGGCCUCGUACUGUCGAGCCCUCCUCUCCAUCUGUUCGGCAGGCCCUCGUGUGGCCGAUCCAGGCACUUUAAACCUGGUGUUCCUUAGGAACCUAAUGGUAAAGUUCCCUUCUACCAUCUCUGCUCAUUCUUUGCGCCAUAAUAUAGUAAUUAAAGUGAAAGAAAAAAGGUCAUUUUAAAACUUGGCUAAUGAAUCAUCAAAAAAUUACAGAAUAUGCAAAGAAACAGUAAGUAUGGUUCAUUCAUGGGGAAAAAUGGACAGAAACCAUCCCCAAGGUAGCACAGACAUUCAGCUUACUAGGACAAAGACUUAAUGUCAGGUGUCUUAAAUGUGCCUCCCCAAAGAGCCAAAGGGCACCAGAAGAACUGUUUAUCUCAACAAAGAGAAUGUUAGUAAAGGAACAGAAAUUACCAAAAGUAACCAGACACAAGUUCUGGAGCAGAAAAGUACUGUGACGGAAAUGAAGUUCACAUGAGGGGCCCAGUGGCAGAUGUGAGCAGAAGAAGGAAAAAUCAGCGAACUUGGAGAUUGGUCUAAUGACAUUACCCAGUCUGAGGAGCAGAAAGAAGAGUGGAAAAUGAGCAGAAUCUAGGGCCACAUGGGGCACCGUCAGCAUCCAUGGUACAGCAGCCCCAGAGGGAAAAGAGAGAGGAAAAGGGGCAGAGAGAAGAUACGAAGAGGUGAUGGUUCAGAACACCCCAGAUUGGAUAAAAGACAUGAAUCUACAUUUCCAAGAAGUUCAGUGAGUUUCAGGUAGGGACUAACUCUGAGAUCUGCCCAGAGACUCAGUAUAUUCUCUCUGCUAAAGCCAAAGAAAGGGAGACUCUUGAAUCCAGGAAGAGAGAAAGGACGCGGUGUACAAAGGGUCUUCAGUGAGACUAACAACCGAUUGCUCAUUAGAAACUCCGAGGGCCAGAACGCAGUGGGGUGACGAGUUUGAGGUCCCUGAAAGAAAACGCUGUUAACAAAGAGUUCUGGAUCUGGCAAAACUACCCUUGAAGAAUGAAGGGGAGAUGGAGACCUUCGCAGAUACUGAAAAGAUAAGGUGGUUCAUUAUGUUUAGGCAGGGAGCUAAAGACCGUCUUCCAGGCUGAAACGAAAGGAUGCUAGCCCGGAACUUGAAGCCGCAAAGAGGUAACGUUGGUGCAGGUAAAAUACAAAAGGAAUACAGGGAAAUUCAAAGGCCAACAUCACUGCAUUUUUGGUGUGUAACUCCUGUUUUUCUCUACGCAAUUUUAAAGACAAAUGUAUAAAACGGUAAUACAUUUUCUGUUAACAGGUUCGUAAUGCAGAAAUUUGUCAUCUUUGAUGGUGAUGCUAUAGAGGUGUGGAGGGAAGGAGAUACACAGAAGCAGAGCAUUUGUAUAGUUAACUAAAGCCAGAAAUGGAAAAGCAGAUUUUACAAUUCACACGGAACUGUAAGAGGCCUGAAUAGCCAAAACAGUCCCAUAAAGGGAGACUAAGUUGGGGGUCUCCCAUGUUCCUAUUUCAGAACUUGCCAGAAAAGUCAAUGAAAAAAAACAUGACGUAAGGUUAGAUGUAGACUAGUAGAAUAAAAUCCAAGAACUCAGAUUGCAGAUAUAAGCUCGUAUAUCUUUACCGAGUUGAUUUUUGUCAAGGGCGUGAAGACCAUUCAGAAGGGGUAAGGACAGUGGCUUCAACAGAAAGUACUGGGGCAGUGACAUGUCCACGUACAAAAGAACGAAAAUGGACCCUUGCAUUUCUUGAGUUAACUCAGAAUGGGUAAAAGAUCUGAAUUUAAGAGCUUGAAUUAUGAUGUGGUUACAAGAGACCAUGGGAGACCACAUCUGAAUGACUUAGUCUUGGCAGUGAUUCCUUAAAUGUGGCACCAGAAGCACAAGCAUCGGUGAAAAAAUAAAUGAGACUUAGCCAAAUUAAAAUCUCUCGUCUAUCAAAGGACACUAUUCAGUGAAUAAAAGGCAGUGUAUAGAAUGGAAGACAAUAUUUGAAAAUCCUGUGUCUGAUAAGUCAGGGUCUAGAAUCCAGAAUAUAGAACCCAAUUUAAAAAUGGGCAAAAGGUUAGAACAUACAUUUUUCUGGAGAAGAUAUGCAAAUGGCCAAAAAGUAUGUGAAAAAAUGCUGAGUGUUAUUUAUUAGGAAAAUGCAACUCAAAACCACAACGAACUAGCACUUCACACCCACCAGGAUGGCUGUAGAAGUUAGAGGGGUUGGCAGGGACACGGAGACACAUGACCCCUAAUACGUUGCUGGUGGGCCUGUGAAACAGGCUGUAGACAUCUGUUUGUCCUUCAGAAAGUAAAAUACAGAGUUACCGUAUUCUAGUCUAACCUAGAAUUCUAACCUAGAAUUCUAGUCUACCGUAUUCUAACCCGGCAGUUCUAGUCAUUGGUGUCUACCCAAGAGAACUGAAAACGUGGCCACGUGAAGACUUGUACAUGAAUGUUCACGGCUAAAUGUCCAAUUGAUACAAGAAUGGGUAACCAAAACGUGUGUAUGUAUCACGGAAUAUUACUUAGCCAUAAAAAAUGAUGUUUGGAUACACGAUGCAGUAUGGGUGAACCUCCAGAUAUUAUGCCAGGUGAAAGAAGCCAGACACACGAGGUUGGGUACUGUGUGAUUUCGUGUAUAUGAAAUGUCCCUAACAGGCAGGUCCGAGGAGACAGAAAGUACAAGAGUGGUUGGCUAGGGUGGAUAGUGGAAUUGACCACAACAGGUCCAGGGUAUC